UUUUUUUCAGAUUACCUGUCUCAUUCACUACUGUCAGGAUAUAGUUUAUUUAUAAAAAUAACUUUUUUUAAUCAUAUUUGCUUCAUUUCUACCCACUGCAGCUUUAAUGUAUUGGCUUCUUAUCACAAUGUAUUCCAGAAGUCUGAAAUGCAAAAAGAAAUGUCCCACAUUAGGCUAAUUCACCCUCUGAAGCCUAAAACAGUACUUCUCUUAUUGUAUUGAUACUUUCAAGUAAAGCAUUUGUGUACUUCUACCUCACCGUAAUGUCAGGGUUUACUGUGAAAUAAACUUUAAAAAGGUUAGAAACAAGAGGGGUAAAAAAAGAGAGAGAAAGAAAGAAAGAAACACACACACACACACACAGCCAGCCAGCAGUGAUCCCACAACGAUGGAGCGCGAGGCCAUAUCAGAUUACAAUAACAUAGUCUCGGAACCCGCGAGCCCUCCGCCCUCCUCGGAGCAUCGCGUGAGAGCAGCAGCCGACUCUCCAACUUGAUUGUGAUUAAUGCGCGAGGGCAAGAUAUCCAUGCCAGAUCCGAGCGAGACACAUUCUUAAGGUAGUCCACGAGAGAGGAGACACAAAGCCACAAAAGACCGGAAUAAUCCACACUAAACCACACUUUACCCGCUUUUACUACAUAUCCUCAUGUACAGUUAUGGAUAUAUUAUUGACAUAUUGAAGACAGAAGUUUACAAGAGGAUGCAGUCGAGCUUAAAUCGGUUUAAUCUUCAUUUUCGCUAAGAUUCGAAUUAAUAACUUAUCGAAUAUGAACUAAUCUAAAUUGUUACAACUUUUAUGGAACUUUAGAACGUUCUAUAGAACUAUAGACAUUCUAUAGUUCUAUAGAACGUUUCAUAGUUCCAUAGAACGUUCUAUAGAACUAUGAAACGUUAUAUAGAACUGUAGAACGUUCUAUAGAACUUAGCACUUAGCACAGAACGUAGCACUUUCAACUGAAAGUCAGUUGUGCUUUGGAACGUUGCGUUGACGUCCUUCACUGUUUGACGUCAACAUGUCUGCCUAUAAUUCACAUUCUCGGGAAAAGCAACAGAAGCAGUUCAAGAUAUUUGAAAAGCAGCUCUCUGCCUCAUCUCACCACACAUCAGUGGCAGCUAGAGACAUGUUGCCAGCAGUUGCCAUGGAGACCAUUCACACCCUAAAAAGCUCUCCCCAUCGUUCCUCCUCUGUAAACAGCAGUGUUUAUCUUGGGCACUUCUUCAUAACAGCCGUCCGUCAAGUUCACAUUCCCACAGCUUGAAGUUUGUCACCGGUUCAGAUACUAAACUCUGUUUCCUUGAUGGCACAAAGGAAAAUUACUUUUACUUUCUGUUAUGACAAAUUCCUGACUGACUGCAUGCUGCACACAAAAGGUUGCAAACUGGAUCGGAACAGUUACGUUAGAUUUCUUGAACACUUACGGAAAAUUUCCAAGAGAAGUUAAGCUCUGGAAUUUGAGAAUUUUUGCACAAUUUCAACAUAGAAAUCAAACCUUUAUAUACACAUAAAAAGCAGUACUAGCUCUCAUGGCAUGUUUUGGUUAAAGGUAUGCCCAUUUAAUUAAAUUGUAACCAUGCACUAAUUGCUGUAACUGAACUGUAAUCAACCCUCUGCAUGCACAGUGCAUGCUCCCAUCACAUGUGCAGCCAACACUACUGCACUAUCUGAGCUAAAGGUCUACAUGCUUUCAUGUAACUUUUGAUUAUAUUGGAGUGAAUGUAUUUUAUAUUUUUGUGAUAGUUCAGUGAACCAGCAGAUAGUAGUCUAAAGCAAAUAGUUUAUAACUUGUUGACACCUGCUAGUUUCUGCUAGCUACUGUUACCAUGUGGGAUGUAGCUUGAUUGAGCAUGCUAAUGCAAUCUAUUUCUAUUCAUUCUUUAUUGUAAAACAUUUCUUUUAUAUAUUAGUUGGCCACUUGAAACUCAAAGUUUGCACACAGCCCAUACUUUCAGCUCGAAUUUUCAACGUACCUUUACCCAUUAGUUAACUUGCCAGCUAGCUAACUAACCACAUGACACAUUUUACACUGUGUUUUGACUAAUCAGAAUUAAAAUCCAGUUUAUUGACAAAUGGGUUUUUACCUAGCUACAAGAAAUUGGCUUUGGUGGUGUAUUGGUGCAUAACUUAAACAUAAUAAAAGGCAAUUAAAUUAAAAAGAAAAGAAAGUAUUGCACAAAUCAAGAAACAUAAAUAUAUAAUAGAAGAAAAUUACAGUAAAACAUUUGAAAAAAAUAUGUACAAUAUAUCUGAAUUGAAAUGAAAGAGCUGUGCAGUUUUUUAGAAGGGGUAGUUUUGUGCAGAAAUUUACAAAAUUGUCCAAGUAAUGUGCAAAGGUUCACAGUACAAAACAUAAAAAGAAUGUGCAAUAGUCCCAACAAUAUUAAUGUAACGCUUAUAGACAGAUGUGAAGAUGUUAAUGUAACAUGUAGUGUCUCUGGGAGGGGAUAAAAGUCUGUGUCAGUGGGGAUCCUGGGCCUUGGUGAUGAGGCCAGUUGCAGAUGGGAAGAAACUGGCGAGAGGUUCUGCUCCUGAUGGACCGCAGCCUCCUGCCAGAGGGGAGUGAUUCAAAGAGUUUGGGUCCAGGGUGGGAAUCUUUCCUGCCCGCCUCAGGGUCCUGGAGGUGUUCAGGUCCUGGAGGGAUGGCAGAUUGCAGCCAAUCACCUUCUCAACGGAGCUUAUUACAUUCAGAAAUGAAUGGAUUUAUUUGGCAAAUGAAUGGAUUAUGUCUGCUUAUGAUACGGUAAAAUGUUUCUAUCUGCAUAUGACAGAUAACCCCUACAGUAUAUAUCCAUUUUAUUCUAGUUAUUUCCCCAUUAAUUCCUAUUAAUUCACAUGGAAAUUCCUGGAAUUUUGCAACACUACACAUGCACAUUAUCUCCACAAUGACAACGUAUAUUGUUAUUUUACUUUUGUGUCACAACUAAAUGAUUCCACCUCUAAAUGCACGGUUUGAUCGUAGGGUUGUUUUUCUUGUUUUGCUGUCUUCAGUGAGUGUUUAGUGUUUUUACAGACGCAGCUUUAUUGUUUGUGUCACUAUUGUCAUAAUAUGCAUACUGUUGUUUCCUGAUUAGCAUCUGAAUGAACAAAAACAAAACUACAAACACAGAGCAACAAACUUCAAAGUGCAAAACAUAAAAAAAAGCAAAAGAUGAAAAGAGAAGAGCAGACAGACGUGUCACGCUUUCAUCAGGAGCUUGAGCGGUGUUUGCUCAGCGUAUCUCUGACAGUUUGACUGCUGGAUGACUGAGAGACGCCCGAGGUGGAGGCUCUGACAUGAAGCGCUGCCGUGUCUCUGAGGAAGGAUACUCUCUGACUCCUGAUUUUGAGGUCUGGCACCAAAUGUAGAUAUUACAUUUUCAUAAACAGUGCAUGGGCAAACAUCGAAAA